AAUAGAUACCCGGGUAGUCCAUGCCGUAAACGUUGGGAACUAGAUGUAGGGCCUGUUCCACGGGUUCUGUGUCGUAGCUAACGCAUUAAGUUCCCCGCCUGGGGAGUACGGCCGCAAGGCUAAAACUCAAAGGAAUUGACGGGGGCCCGCACAAGCGGCGGAGCAUGCGGAUUAAUUCGAUGCAACGCGAAGAACCUUACCAAGGCUUGACAUAUAGCAGAACGCUCUAGAAAUAGAGAACUCUUUGGACACUGUUAUACAGGUGGUGCAUGGUUGUCGUCAGCUCGUGUCGUGAGAUGUUCGGUUAAGUCCGGCAACGAGCGCAACCCUCGUCCUAUGUUGCCAGCGCGUUAUGGCGGGAACUCAUGGGAUACUGCCGUGGUCAACACGGAGGAAGGUGGGGAUGACGUCAAAUCAUCAUGCCCCUUAUGUCUUGGGCUUCACGCAUGCUACAAUGGCCGGUACAAAGGGCUGCGAUACCGCGAGGUGGAGCGAAUACCCAAAAAGCCGGUCUCAGUUCGGAUUGGGGU
rnacentral:rRNA from 1 species